AGGCUUAACACAUGCAAGUCGAACGAGAAAGCACUUUCGGGUGUGAGUAUAGUGGCAAACGGGUGAGUAACACGUGGGAACGUACCUUGAAGUACAGAAUAGCCCCGGGAAACUGGGAUUAAUACUGUAUAUUCUCUACGGAGGAAAGAUUUAUCGCUUCAAGAUCGGCCCGCGCCUGAUUAGCUAGUUGGUGAGGUAAUGGCUCACCAAGGCAAUGAUCAGUAGCUGGUUUGAGAGGAUGAUCAGCCACACUGGAACUUAGACACGGUCCAGACUCCUACGGGAGGCAGCAGUGAGGAAUAUUGGACAAUGGGCGCAAGCCUGAUCCAGCCAUGCCGCGUGAGUGAUGAAGGCCCUAGGGUUGUAAAACUCUUUUAGUGGGGAAGAUAAUGACGGUACCCACAGAAAAAGCACCGGCUAACUUCGUGCCAGCAGCCGCGGUAAUACGAAGGGUGCUAGCGUUACUCGGAAUUACUGGGCGUAAAGCGCAUGUAGGCGGACUUUCAAGUCAGGGGUGAAAUCCCGAGGCUCAACCUCGGAAUUGCCUCUGAAACUGUGAGUCUUGAGUAUGAUAGAGGAUAGUGGAAUUCCUAGUGUAGAGGUGAAAUUCGUAGAUAUUAGGAGGAACACCAGUGGCGAAGGCGACUAUCUGGGUCAUUACUGACGCUGAGAUGCGAAAGCGUGGGGAGCAAACGGGAUUAGAUACCCCGGUAGUCCACGCCGUAAACGAUGAGUGCUAGUUGUUGGAAUUUUUCAGUGACACAGCUAACGCGUUAAGCACUCCGCCUGGGGAGUACGGU
rnacentral:rRNA from 1 species